GUCUGCUGUUGGGCGCUCUGGAAACAAAAAUGAACACGAUCCGCCCCUUGCCCUAAAAGAACUCAUAUUCCAUUGGAAGAGAAAGACACACAGGCAUGGGAUAAUGACAAUUAAGUGACAUGUGCCCUAACAGAAGCACAGCAGGCACAAUGGGAAACAGAGGGAAUGGGGGCCCUCUGAGCAGGGAAUAUUCUAGGCAAAGGGCCGCAGGAAGAACAGCAUGGUGUACAGGGCCUGGUGAGAGCAGCAGAUAAGAAGCUGCUCCUGGGGCCCAGCCUCAGGGCCUUUGGCUGCGGCCGGCGCAGGCACCGGCCGGUAUUCUGGGCUAACCAGCAAGUACCAGGCAGGAGGGGCUGAAGCUGUCCCGGGGGCAUCGCAUUGGAACCGGCAGGAUCCCCGGACGACAGCCUCCACCCAGAAGAGAGUCCUCUUCUCCAGGCUGAAGUCGUGCUGCCGAGAGAAGGCUACGUGAGGAUCGGCCAGGCAAGCCAGGCUCGAGGGCACACCCCUACCCUCUCUCUGGUCUCCGGGGCCCCCGUUCAGCCAAAGACUUGCCAGACCUGCAUGGCUCCCAAUUCUGGGCUCCAGGCAGCCAUCACAGCCCACCCCCGUUUUAGCUAACACUGGAGUAGACGGACAUCAGUAACAAUGUAACGAUAAUCUCUGCAUAAAGGACAAAGUGAAGAACAGGUUAAUAGGAUGAAAUGUAGUGAAAUCUAAUAUGUAAAUCCUUUUGCUAUUUAGUGUGUAAUUGAACAGUAGCAGCUUAAAAACUUUCUCCCAUAAAAUUGGGUUUCAGCAUCCUG